rnacentral:piRNA from 1 species
UGGAGCUGUUGUGGUGGAAUGAGUAUCAU